rnacentral:rRNA from 1 species
CGAGCGAACGGACGAGAAGCUUGCUUCUCUGAUGUUAGCGGCGGACGGGUGAGUAACACGUGGAUAACCUACCUAUAAGACUGGGAUAACUUCGGGAAACCGGAGCUAAUACCGGAUAAUAUUUUGAACCGCAUGGUUCAAAAGUGAAAGACGGUCUUGCUGUCACUUAUAGAUGGAUCCGCGCUGCAUUAGCUAGUUGGUAGGGUAACGGCUUACCAAGGCAACGAUGCAUAGCCGACCUGAGAGGGCGAUCGGCCACACUGGAACUGAGACACGGUCCAGACUCCUACGGGAGGCAGCAGUAGGGAAUCUUCCGCAAUGGGCGAAAGCCUGACGGAGCAACGCCGCGUGAGUGAUGAAGGUCUUCGGAUCGUAAAACUCUGUUAUUAGGGAAGAACAUAUGUGUAAGUAACUGUGCACAUCUUGACGGUACCUAAUCAGAAAGCCACGGCUAACUACGUGCCAGCAGCCGCGGUAAUACGUAGGUGGCAAGCGUUAUCCGGAAUUAUUGGGCGUAAAGCGCGCGUAGGCGGUUUUUUAAGUCUGAUGUGAAAGCCCACGGCUCAACCGUGGAGGGUCAUUGGAAACUGGAAAACUUGAGUGCAGAUAGAGGAAAGUGGAAUUCCAUGUGUAGCG